AGAGUUUGAUCCUGGCUCAGGAUGAACGUUGGCGGCGUGUCUAAGGCAUGCAAGUUGCGGGAUCGGCCCUUUUAUUCUUCGGAAUUGUUGGGUACGGACCGGCAAACGGGUGAGUAACACACUGGUAACCUACCUUUAAGACGAGGAUAGCCUUCCGAAAGGAAGAUUAAUACUCGAUAGUCAUGGGGGGACAUAAGUCAUUCCCAUGUAAACCUACGGGGCUUAAAGAGGGGCCUAUGGCUGAUUAGCUUGUUGGUGGGGUAAAGGCCUACCAAGGCUGCGAUCAGUAGCAGGCGUGAGAGCGUGACCUGCCUCACUGGGACUGAGACACUGCCCAGACUCCUACGGGAGGCUGCAGUCAAGAAUAUUCCACAAUGCGCGAAAGCGUGAUGGAGCGACGCCGCGUGCAGGAAGACGCCCUUCGGGGUGUAAACUGCUUUUAUGUGGGAAGAAUUUGUGACGGUACCACAUGAAUAAGAGGUUGCUAACUCUGUGCCAGCAGCAGCGGUAAUACAGAGACCUCAAACGUUAUCCGGAUUCAUUGGGCGUAAAGCGUCCGCAGGUUGUUUUAUAAGUUGGUAGUUAAAUCUUUGUGCUUAACAUAAAGACCGCUACCAAUACUGUAAGACUAGAGGUUGGGAGAGGCAAGCGGAACUAUCGGUGUAGUCGUAAUAAGCGCUGAUAUCGAUAGGAACACCAAAGGCGAAGGCAGCUUGCUAGAACAAACCUGACACUCAUGGACGAAAGCGUGGGUAGCGAAUGGGAUUAGAUACCCCAGUAGUCCACGCCGUAAACGAUGGAUACUAGGUAUUGGGAGUUUCGACCCUCUCAGUGCCGUUGAAUCAAGCUAACGCGUUAAGUAUCCCGCCUGGGGAGUACGGUCGCAAGACUAAAACUCAAAGGAAUAGACGGGGACCCGCACAAGUAGUGGAUCAUGUGGUUUAAUUCGACGAUAAGCGAUAACCUUACCUGGGUUUGACAUAUAG
rnacentral:rRNA from 1 species